GGAAAAAGACACUCUAUUGCAGGAAAUUGCAGAGCAAACAGAAGAUUUUACUGGAGCUGAACUUCAAAAUAUAUUGAAUGAAGCUGGAAUUUUGACCGCAAGGAAAGAUUUGGACUAUAUAGGACGAGAUGAACUCCUUGAGGCAUUGAAGAGGCAAAAAGGCACAUUUGAAACGGGUCAAGAAGAUAGUACUGAGGUCCCUGAGGAGUUAACACUAAGACUAGCUUACAGAGAAGCUGCUGUUGCAGUUCUUGCUUGUUACCUUCCAGAUCCCUACCGACCAUUCACUGAGACGGACAUCAAAUCUAUUCGUAGUCAGCCCAAUAUGCAAUUCGUGGAGAUUGGAGGCAGAGUGUUUAAAAGGAAAGCAGAUUAUGUGAACUCAAUAGUCCGUGCAUGUGCUCCCAGAGUAAUUGAGGAAGAAAUGUUUGGAGUUGACAAUCUAUGCUGGAUCUCUGCAAAAUCAACUUUAGAAGCUUCCA
rnacentral:misc_RNA from 1 species